rnacentral:rRNA from 1 species
AACGAACGCUGGCGGCAUGCCUAUCACAUGCAAGUCGAACGGGAUCCUAGCUUGCUAGGUGAGAGUGGCGGACGGGUGAGUAACACGUGGGAAUCUGCCUUUUGGUUCGGGAUAACCGCGGGAAACUGCGGCUAAUACCGAAUGCCCUCGAGAGAGGAAAGAUUUAUCGCCAGAAGAGGAGCCCGCGUCCGAUUAGGUAGUUGGUGGGGUAAAGGCCUACCAAGCCGACGAUCGGUAGCUGGUCUGAGAGGAUGAUCAGCCACACUGGGACUGAGAUACGGCCCAGACUCCUACGGGAGGCAGCAGUGGGGAAUAUUGGACAAUGGGGGCAACCCUGAUCCAGCAAUGCCGCGUGAGUGAUGAAGGCCUUAGGGUUGUAAAGCUCUUUUGCCAGGGAAGAUGAUGACUGUACCUGGAGAAUAAGCCCCGGCUAACUUCGUGCCAGCAGCCGCGGUAAU